UUGGAGGGCAAGUCUGGUGCCAGCAGCCGCGGUAAUUCCAGCUCCAAUAGCGUAUAUUAAAGUUGUUGCAGUUAAAAAGCUCGUAGUUGAAUUUUGGGUCUGGCCGGGCGGUCCGCCCUCCGGGUGAGCACUGUUCCGACGCCGGGCCUAUCCUUCUGGUGAGUCGGCAUGUCCUUUACUGGGUGUGUCGGGGAACCAGGACCAUUACCUUGAAAAAAUUAGAGUGUUCAAAGCAGGCGUAUGCUCGGAUACAUUAGCAUGGAAUAAUGAAAUAGGACGCGUGGUGCUAUUUUGUUGGUUUCUAGAACCGCCGUAAUGAUUAAUAGGGAUAGUUGGGGGCAUUAGUAUUCAAUUGUCAGAGGUGAAAUUCUUGGAUUUAUUGAAGACUAACUUCUGCGAAAGCAUUUGCCAAGGAUGUUUUCAUUAAUCAAGAACGAAAGUUAGGGGAUCGAAGACGAUCAGAUACCGUCGUAGUCUUAACCAUAAACUAUGCCGACUAGGAAUCGGGCGAUGUUAUUCUCAUGACUCGCCCGGCGCCUUAUGGGAAACCAAAGUGUUUGGGUUC
rnacentral:rRNA from 1 species